GACGAACGCUGGCGGCGUGCCUAACACAUGCAAGUCGAACGGAGAUAUUAAUGAAGCUUGCGAUUUAAUAUUUUAGUGGCGGACGGGUGAGUAACGCGUGGGUAAUCUACCUUUUAGUGGGGAAUAACAGUUGGAAACGACUGCUAAUACCGCAUACGCAACCUUCGGGUUGGAAAGAUGGCCUCUGAAAAUGCUGUCGCUAAAAGAUGAGCCCGCGUCUGAUUAGCUAGUUGGUAAGGUAAAGGCCUACCAAGGGGACGAUCAGUAGCCGGCCUGAGAGGGUGAACGGCCCCACUGGGACUGAGACACGGCCCAGACUCCUACGGGAGGCAGCAGUGGGGAAUAUUGCGCAAUGGGGGAAACCCUGACGCAGGGACGCCGCGUGAGCGAUGAAGGCCUUAGGGUUGUAAAGCUCUGUUUUAGGGGA
rnacentral:rRNA from 1 species